rnacentral:rRNA from 1 species
CGUGUAGGCGGUCCUCUAAGUCUGGUGUGAAAGCCCUGGGCUUAACCCAGGAAGUGCACUGGAUACUGGAAGACUAGAGGGCGAGAGGGGGAAGCGGAAUUCUUGGUGUAGGGGUGAAAUCCGUAGAUAUCAAGAGGAACAUCGGUGGCGAAGGCGGCUUCCUGGCUCGUUUCUGACGCUCAGACGCGAAAGCGUGGGUAGCAAACA